AUGAACGCUGGCGGCGUGCCUAAUACAUGCAAGUCGAGCGCACAGACGAGGAGCUUGCUCCUCUGACGUUAGCGGCGGACGGGUGAGUAACACGUGGAUAACCUACCUAUAAGACUGGGAUAACUUCGGGAAACCGGAGCUAAUACCGGAUAAUAUAUUGAACCGCAUGGUUCAAUAGUGAAAGACGGUUUUGCUGUCACUUAUAGAUGGAUCCGCGCCGCAUUAGCUAGUUGGUAAGGUAACGGCUUACCAAGGCAACGAGGCGUAGCCGACCUGAGAGGGUGAUCGGCCACACUGGAACUGAGACACGGUCCAGACUCCUACGGGAGGCAGCAGUAGGGAAUCUUACGCAAUGGGCGAAAGCCUGACGGAGCAACGCCGCGUGAGUGAUGAAGGUCUUCGGAUCGUAAAACUCUGUUAUUAGGGAAGAACAAAUGUGUAAGUAACUAUGCACGUCUUGACGGUACCUAAUCAGAAAGCCACGGCUAACUACGUG
rnacentral:rRNA from 1 species